GACGAACGCUGGCGGCGUGCUUAACACAUGCCAGUCGAACGGAAAGGCCCUGCUUUUGUGGGGUGCUCGAGUGGCGAAGGGGUGAGUAACACGUGAGUAACCUGCCCUUGACUUUGGGAUAACUUCAGGAAACUGGGGCUAAUACCGGAUAGGAGCUCCUGCUGCAUGGUGGGGGGUGGAAAGUUUCGGCGGUUGGGGAUGGACGCGCGGCUUAUCAGCUUGUUGGUGGGGUAGUGGCUUACCAAGGCUUUGACGGGUAGCCGGCCUGUGAGGGUGACCGGCCACAUUGGGACUGAGAUACGGCCCAGAGUCCUACGGGAGGCAGCAGUGGGGAAUAUUGCACAAUGGGCGGGAGCCUGAUGCAGCAACGCCGCGUGCGGGAUGACGGCCUUCGGGUUGUAAACCGCUUUCGCCUGUGACGAAGCGGGAGUGACGGUAAUGGGUAAAGAAGCACCGGCUAACUACGUG
rnacentral:rRNA from 1 species